rnacentral:rRNA from 1 species
GACGAACGCUGGCGGCGUGCCUAAUACAUGCAAGUCGUGCGGACCUUUUAAAAGCUUGCUUUUAAAAGGUUAGCGGCGGACGGGUGAGUAACACGUGGGCAACCUGCCUGUAAGACUGGGAUAACGCCGGGAAACCGGGGCUAAUACCAGAUCGUUUUUUCCUCCGCAUGGAGGAAAAAGGAAAGGCGGCUUCGGCUGCCACUUACAGAUGGGCCCGCGGCGCAUUAGCUAGUUGGCGGGGUAACGGCCCACCAAGGCAACGAUGCGUAGCCGACCUGAGAGGGUGAUCGGCCACAUUGGGACUGAGACACGGCCCAAACUCCUACGGGAGGCAGCAGUAGGGAAUCUUCCGCAAUGGACGAAAGUCUGACGGAGCAACGCCGCGUGAGUGAAGAAGGCCUUCGGGUCGUAAAACUCUGUUGCCGGGGAAGAACAAGUGCCGUUCGAACAGGGCGGCGCCUUGACGGUACCCGGACAGAAAGCCACGGCUAACUACGUG